rnacentral:rRNA from 1 species
UACGGAGGGGGCUAGCGUUGUUCGGAAUUACUGGGCGUAAAGCGUACGUAGGCGGCUUUGUAAGUUAGAGGUGAAAGCCCGGGGCUCAACUCCGGAAUUGCCUUUAAGACUGCAUCGCUAGAAUUGUGGAGAGGUAAGUGGGAUUCCGAGUGUAGAGGUGAAAUUCGUAGAUAUUCGGAAGAACACCAGUGGCGAAGGCGACUUACUGGACACAUAUUGACGCUGAGGUGCGGAAGCGUGGGGAGCAAACAGG